CUACCGGGGUAUCUAAUCCUGUUUGCUCCCCUAGCUUUCGUGCCUCAGUGUCAGGAGUUGUCCAGGGACUCGCCUUCGCCACUGGUGUUCCGCUUGAUAUCUACGCAUUUCACUGCUACACCAAGCAUUCCAGUCCCCCCUCCAACCCUCGAGCAAGGUAGUUUCCAAUGCCAUUUCGGAGUUGAGCUCCGAGCUUUCACAUCCGACUUACCUCACCACCUACGCACCCUUUACGCCCAGUGAAUCCGAACAACGCUUGGGACCUCUGUAUUACCGCGGCUGCUGGCAC
rnacentral:rRNA from 1 species